GAACGGCAAGCAAGCAAACAAUGAGGUGGAUCUUUCCCUUUGGCAAUUCUUUAUCAGACGUAACCGCCACCUGACUGAGGCCCGUUAUGAGCGGCUCGAUCACGAUGGAACGAGAGAAGUUCCCUAGUUAGGGUCUGGGAAACACUUCGAUUCCUGCACCACGAAGACCAGAGCUCGUGUAUUAUAGGCCCGGUGUAUGCGCUCGCAUUCAUUACUUCGUUUAGUUCUUUAUGCAGACCCGCAUACCCGGACCUUCAUCUGCCUCCUCUGCCGUUUGAUCAGCUCGGCACCGGGUCCUGCAGCCCGGAGAAGGACUAGGCACCUAGUCCUAUUAACAACAGCAGAGGAUGGAGUGCGACGACGCAAAAAAAUCAUCUCUCUCCCGGCUCGAAACCCUCUCCGCUAAGCUGUUGAAUCGCUUCUAGACGGCCACCUUUACCUCAAGGACUACGUCGGUUAAUUUUCUAAUUGCCGCAACCUCCUCCAAUUACCAUCACUGCAGGGCUACCUGGUGGAGGUAAUCUAAUCACGCCCUUACCUAGUCGGGGAGCGCCUCUCGAAGCUACCCGCCGAAGCACACCGCCUAGCUGGCCACCGUAGACUCUUCCCCCCCCUAAGCGGUCUUUGAAGGCGUAUCAGGUAUCCGUUCUUCCUAGGAUCUCGAGGUCCUACCUGGGCGACCAUACUAGCCUCUCUUUUAUCGUUUAGCUAUUAAAAUAACACCUCAAUACGUCUAUGAUAAAGGUAUCUGUACACUUACGAACACUAAUCUUCUCAUCUACCGUCCACCCUAUAUUCAUCACAGACUUGUGGAAGCAUACAUUACAAGACCAUAACCUAACAACCAAGUCAUUAAAUGUAUCAAUGUCCGCGACCUAUUUCUAUUUAGAACAAAGACACAUUUACACAGUAUACAUUUCUUUUGUACUUUAUAAGCUUAUUUUUAAUCCUCUGUCAGUAACCCACUUCCCCUGUUUCUAUAUAGAACAAAGACACAUUUACACAGUACAAUUACUGUAAAUCCUCUGUCAUUUACCUCUCCCCCUUCCUAUGUAAAACGAUGACGUAUUUAUCUGGAGCCCCGUACUAUAUUAAAAGUCCUUACACAGUACAGUGACUUCUCGACAACACAUGGUUGUUACGACAAUCGUGUCACACUAGAGAUUCCCUCCUUGUAAUCGAUCGUCCUGGUUUUGAGACCUUCGUUCUUUCUAUUACUCCCUUUAGUCUGAGGAGACCACUGACCUUGCUCUUGCGACCCAGUCGUUCAC
rnacentral:rRNA from 1 species